rnacentral:rRNA from 1 species
GAUGGACGCUGGCGGCGUGCCUAACACAUGCAAGUCGAGCGAUUCUCUUCGGAGAAGAGCGGCGGACGGGUGAGUAACGCGUGGGUAACCUGCCCUGUACACACGGAUAACAUACCGAAAGGUAUGCUAAUACGAGAUAAUAUGCUUUUAUCGCAUGGUAGAAGUAUCAAAGCUUUUGCGGUACAGGAUGGACCCGCGUCUGAUUAGCUAGUUGGUAAGGUAACGGCUUACCAAGGCGACGAUCAGUAGCCGACCUGAGAGGGUGAUCGGCCACAUUGGAACUGAGACACGGUCCAAACUCCUACGGGAGGCAGCAGUGGGGAAUAUUGCACAAUGGGCGAAAGCCUGAUGCAGCAACGCCGCGUGAGCGAUGAAGGCCUUCGGGUCGUAAAGCUCUGUCCUCAAGGAAGAUAAUGACGGUACUUGAGGAGGAAGCCCCGGCUAACUACGUGCCAGCAGCAGCCGCGG